rnacentral:rRNA from 1 species
CCUACGGGGGGCAGCAGUGAGGAAUAUUGGUCAAUGGGCGCAAGCCUGAACCAGCCAAGUCGCGUGAGGGAUGACGGUCCUAUGGAUUGUAAACCUCUUUUGUCGGGGAGCAAGGCCCGCCACGUGUGGCGGGAAGGAGAGUACCCGAAGAAAAAGCAUCGGCUAACUCCGUGCCAGCAGCCGCGGUAAUACGGAGGAUGCGAGCGUUAUCCGGAUUUAUUGGGUUUAAAGGGUGCGUAGGCGGACGGUUAAGUCAGUGGUCAAAUGUCGGUGCUCAACACCGGCCUGCCGUUGAAACUGGUCGUCUUGAGUGAGCGAGAAGUAUGCGGAAUGCGUGGUGUAGCGGUGAAAUGCAUAGAGAUCACGCAGAACUCCGAUUGCGAAGGCAGCAUACCGGCGCUCAACUGACGCUGAGGCACGAAAGCGUGGGGAUCGAACAGGAUUAGAUACCCGAGUAGUC